rnacentral:rRNA from 1 species
AGAACGAACGCUGGCGGCAUGCCUAACACAUGCAAGUCGAACGCUUCCGGGGCUUCGGUCGCGGAGGAGUGGCGCACGGGUGAGUAGCGCGUGGGAACCUGCCCUGUUGUGGGGGAUAACCGAGGGAAACUUCGGCUAAUACCGCAUACGCCCCGGGACUUGGUCUUCGGAUUAGGUCUGGGGGGAAAGAUUGAUCGCAGCAGGAGGGGCCCGCGUCGGAUUAGCUGGUUGGUGGGGUAACGGCUCACCAAGGCGAUGAUCCGUAGC